rnacentral:tRNA from 1 species
GCCCGGCUAGCUCAGUAGGUAGAGCAUGUGACUCUUAAUCUCAGGGUCGUGGGUUCGAGCCCCAUGUUGGGCG